CCCCUGACCACGGUUUUGUGAGCUUCCCAUUGGGAUUGUAUGGGGACCUCCUCAGACAUAUUUUCCUUGAAAUAAUUAGUUGCGGAUUCAAGGACAGUUUGCAUCGACGUGGGAUCGUCCAGAAGACUUUCGUUAAGUCUCCAUUUUCCUCUCCCUCGGAUUGGGUAUAGGCUACUAAGGGUGACAAUUACCGGGGUGUGGUCUGACCACGUCCGAAACCCUAUAUCUACUUCAGUUAUGUUUGUUAAGGUUAGUUUGUCUACCAGUGUGAGGUCAAUGCGUGAAUAGGUUGAGUGGAUUGGUGAGAAAUAUGAGUAGUCUCUACCUGUUGGAUAAAUGUUACGCCAGGAGUCAUAUAAGUCUAGUUCGAACAUAAUGUCGGACAAGGCUUUGCCAUUAUGAUAUGCGGAGGGGAUAGAUUUCUUAUUGUUCACCCGUUUAACAUCCAAGUUGGGGUCUGGGCUGCAAUUGAAGUCCC